AUUGAACGCUGGCGGCAGGCCUAACACAUGCAAGUCGAGCGGUAGCACAGAGAGCUUGCUCUCGGGUGACGAGCGGCGGACGGGUGAGUAAUGUCUGGGAAACUGCCUGAUGGAGGGGGAUAACUACUGGAAACGGUAGCUAAUACCGCAUAACGUCGCAAGACCAAAGUGGGGGACCUUCGGGCCUCAUGCCAUCAGAUGUGCCCAGAUGGGAUUAGCUAGUAGGUGGGGUAACGGCUCACCUAGGCGACGAUCCCUAGCUGGUCUGAGAGGAUGACCAGCCACACUGGAACUGAGACACGGUCCAGACUCCUACGGGAGGCAGCAGUGGGGAAUAUUGCACAAUGGGCGCAAGCCUGAUGCAGCCAUGCCGCGUGUGUGAAGAAGGCCUUCGGGUUGUAAAGCACUUUCAGCGGGGAGGAAGGCGAUAAGGUUAAUAACCUCAUCGAUUGACGUUACCCGCAGAAGAAGCACCGGCUAACUCCGUGCCAGCAGCCGCGGUAAUACGGAGGGUGCAAGCGUUAAUCGGAAUUACUGGGCGUAAAGCGCACGCAGGCGGUCUGUCAAGUCGGAUGUGAAAUCCCCGGGCUCAACCUGGGAACUGCAUUCGAAACUGGCAGGCUAGAGUCUUGUAGAGGGGGGUAGAAUUCCAGGUGUAGCGGUGAAAUGCGUAGAGAUCUGGAGGAAUACCGGUGGCGAAGGCGGCCCCCUGGACAAAGACUGACGCUCAGGUGCGAAAGCGUGGGGAGCAAACAGGAUUAGAUACCCUGGUAGUCCACGCCGUAAACGAUGUCGAUUUGGAGGUUGUGCCCUUGAGGCGUGGCUUCCGGAGCUAACGCGUUAAAUCGACCGCCUGGGGAGUACGGCCGCAAGGUUAAAACUCAAAUGAAUUGACGGGGGCCCGCACAAGCGGUGGAGCAUGUGGUUUAAUUCGAUGCAACGCGAAGAACCUUACCUGGUCUUGACAUCCACAGAACUUAGCAGAGAUGCUUUGGUGCCUUCGGGAACUGUGAGACAGGUGCUGCAUGGCUGUCGUCAGCUCGUGUUGUGAAAUGUUGGGUUAAGUCCCGCAACGAGCGCAACCCUUAUCCUUUGUUGCCAGCGGUUAGGCCGGGAACUCAAAGGAGACUGCCAGUGAUAAACUGGAGGAAGGUGGGGAUGACGUCAAGUCAUCAUGGCCCUUACGACCAGGGCUACACACGUGCUACAAUGGCAUAUACAAAGAGAAGCGACCUCGCGAGAGCAAGCGGACCUCAUAAAGUAUGUCGUAGUCCGGAUUGGAGUCUGCAACUCGACUCCAUGAAGUCGGAAUCGCUAGUAAUCGUAGAUCAGAAUGCUACGGUGAAUACGUUCCCGGGCCUUGUACACACCGCCCGUCACACCAUGGGAGUGGGUUGCAAAAGAAGUAGGUAGCUUAACCUUCGGGAGGGCGCUUACCACUUUGUGAUUCAUGACCGGGGUGA
rnacentral:rRNA from 1 species